UACGGAGGGGACUAGCGUUGUUCGGAAUUACUGGGCGUAAAGCGCACGUAGGCGGAUUUGUAAGUCAGGGGUGAAAUCCCGAGGCUCAACCUCGGAACUGCCUUUGAUACUGCAAAUCUCGAGUCCGGAAGAGGUGAGUGGAAUUCCUAGUGUAGAGGUGAAAUUCGUAGAUAUUAGGAAGAACACCAGUGGCGAAGGCGGCUCACUGGUCCGGUACUGACGCUGAGGCGCGAAAGCGUGGGGAGCAAACAGG
rnacentral:rRNA from 1 species